AUCAAGAACACCAAUGAAGCAGUUGCUUUCUCCUCUUACAUUAGCGAAAAAACAGAAUCCACAAGAGCUAGGAAAAAUAAAUAAAUGUAUGCUCUAGGAAAUGCAUGAAGAGUUUACAUCUGAACAUGACAACAUCUAAGAAAAAUCAGAUGAAAAAAGUUGAAACUUGAAGGAUGAUGCUUCAUUUUCACAAAAUUAUUAUCAACAUGGAUAAAAAAACUACACAUCACACUUUGCAUUUAGAAAACCAA
rnacentral:misc_RNA from 1 species